rnacentral:rRNA from 1 species
AUUGAACGCUGGCGGCAUGCUUUACACAUGCAAGUCGAACGGUAACAGGCCUUCGGGUGCUGACGAGUGGCGAACGGGUGAGUAAUGCAUCGGAACGUACCCAGAGGUGGGGGAUAACGCAGCGAAAGCUGUGCUAAUACCGCAUGUGAUCUGAGGAUGAAAGCGGGGGACCGAGCAGCAAUGUUUGGCCUCGCGCCUUUGGAGCGGCCGAUGUCGGAUUAGCUAGUUGGUGGGGUAAAGGCCUACCAAGGCGACGAUCCGUAGCUGGUCUGAGAGGACGACCAGCCACACUGGGACUGAGACACGGCCCAGACUCCUACGGGAGGCAGCAGUGGGGAAUUGUGGACAAUGGGCGCAAGCCUGAUCCAGCAAUGCCGCGUGCGGGAAGAAGGCCUUCGGGUUGUAAACCGCUUUUGGCAGGAACGAAACGGUGUCCGCUAAUACCGGGCGCUAAUGACGGUACCUUCAGAAUAAGCACCGGCUAACUACGUG